UGGAGAGCAAGGUGAAGCCGCUGGAAUCACAGAGGUAAAUAUCUAAUUAGGAUGCUUCUGAAGGUUGUAGUAUUUACUUGAGAGAAUGUAUCUUGGGCUGGUUUGCAAUUAGGGAGGUUAUUAUUUUCUCUGGUUCCGGCAGGUCCUGCACUUAAAUAUGUCAUUAGGUGCUGCUUAAAGCAUCUGGGGUACCUGGAGGGCAUCCUUCAUUUAUUUUUAAGAUAUUUGUCUAUUGCAACAUCCAUACAGCUGGGCCACUGGGAUGCUGAAAGAUGUGCUCCAGUUCUAACUAUGUUUCUGAGGGACACAAAGCAAUAGUCUGGGUCACCAUCCAACCAAAUAAGUAAAUUAGAGACUUUAGAGCCAAAAAAAAAUCCAUUGAUUCAACCAAAAUUGAAGUCUUUGUCCCAGGCACAGAGUUUAGCUUUAGGAUUCCACUUCAUCCUCAGCCCAGCUCUAUAAGGGGAUAUUAUUCCUAUUUUAUAGAGAGGAAAGAGGUUCAGUGAGAAAACAUGCUGGAAGUCAAAAAGCUAAUGAGAAGUAAGGCCACCACACCAAGAGGCCAAUAUGAUAAUGGUCGAUUGUAGCUGAAAAAGACGCAAGACAGAUGUCUUCUGAGAAAGCCCAGGCAAGGGGAGACCAAAACAAGGCUAUAGGCACACAGCUGCAUUAAACAUUAAACACCACCCAGCUCCAGAAAGAUGACCAGAAAUCCUCAGGCCAACUGCCGGCUUACUUCAGUUCUACUGACCAAUGCAAUAUAUACCCAGCUUUUAACCCCAAAUGACAAGACAUGCCAAAGGCAAGAAAAAGUACAAUCUGAAGACACAAAUCAAUCAUCAGAAUCAGACUCAGAUAUGACAGAUGUUGGAUAUCAGACAGAAAAAUUAAAAUAAAUAUGACUGAUAUGUUAAAGUCUCCAGUGAAUAAAAAGGUAGACAAUGUAUAAGGACUAUGUAUAACGUAAUGAGAAAGAGAGAGAAAUUCUAAGGAAAAAAUCCAAAGGGAAUGUUAGAAAUGAAAAACACUGUAACCGAAAGGAAGAAUGUCCCUCAUGGAGUCAUCAGAACAAUAAACAUGGCGGAGGAAAGAAUCAGGGACCUUCAAGAUAGAUCAGUAGAAAAUUCCCAAAUACAAAGAAAAAAAAUGACUGAAACAAAGCAAAACAUCCUAGAACUGUGGGUCAAUAUGAAAAAGUGCAGUAUAUGCAUAACUAGAAUGCCAGGGAGAUAAGAAGAAAAUGGAGCCGAGGAGGUAUUUGAACUAAUAACAACCAUGACCUUCCAAACCACAGAUCCUGGAAACCUGGAGAAUACCAAGCAGAAGAAAUACCAAAACAAACAAAUGAAGAAAACGCCACACCGAGGCAUAUCAUGUUCAAACCACAGAAAGACAAAGAGAAAAUCCUGAAAGAAGCCAGAAUGGAGUGAAAUGUCUUCCCAUGUGGGAAGACUUCUCAACAUAAACAGGGCUGCAUGGAGAGGGUGGAGUAAGAUAUUUAAAGCAUUGAAAGGGAAAAAGCACCAACCUAGAAUUUUAUAUCCAGCAAAAUUAUCCUUCAAAAGUGAAACAUAAAUAUUUUUCUUAGACAAACAAGAACUGAGGGAAACAUUCUACAUGAAAUGUUCAUAGAGUUUCUUUAGGCUGGAGGAAAAAUGAUGUAAAUCGAAAAUUUGGUUUUUAUAUGAAGAAAGGAAGAGCACAGAGGGAAUAAAUGAGGGAAACAUAAAUAACAUCAUUUAUUUUUCUUAUUGUUAAUUAAUCUAAAAGACAACUACUUAAAACAAUGAUCGUAGUCAUAACUUGCCAUGUAAGUACAGUGUCUGAGUAGAGGAAAUGAACGACAGCAAUGUCACCAGAGAUGGAAGAGAGAUAGUGGGAAAUUGUACCGCUCCACAGCAACCAAGGCUACGUGUAACAGUGAAAGAGUAGAAACAUAGAUGAAUGGAAUAAAAGAGAGAUCAAAUCCAUUCAACGGAGUUUUGACAAAGGUGCAAAGGCAAUUCAAUGCAGAAAGAGUAAUCCCUCCCACAACAGUGAUGGACAAAUGGACAUCCAUAUUUUUAAGAAUUGAGCCUAGGCAGAGACUUGACACCUUACACAAAAGUUUAUUCAAAUGGAUCAUAAGUCUAAAUGUAAAGUGCAAACUACAAAACUUUUAGAGGAGGACUGGGGAUAUAGCUCAGUUGGUAGAGUGCUUGCCUUGCAUACCUAAGUCCUGGGUUCAAUCCCCUGCACCACAAAAAAAAAAAAAAAACGUUUAGAGGAAAUCUAAAUGACCUUAGGUUUGGGGAUGAGCUUAAAAUCAAAAUCGUGACCCAUGGAAGAAGAAAUGGUCAGGUUGCUGUAGUGGAUUGAAUGUUGCUCACCCCCAACCUCAGAAAAAUGUCCACAUCCAAAUUCUUAGGAUCUGUAAAUGUUAAGUCCUUGGGGAAAGGGUCUUCAUGGAAUGGUAAGGGUCUUGAGAUGAGGUCAUUCUGGAUCACCGUGGUGGGCCCUAAGUCCAGAGCAAGUGUCCUUGUAAGAGAUACACAGGGGAGAUGUGACAAAAGAGGAGGCCGUGGGGCCACGGGGCAGAGGUGGCAGUCACAAGUCAAGCCUGCGGUCGAGGAGGUCUUUGAUGGGAUGUGAGCAGAAUGGUGCUUUACCAUGUGUCCUCCUGCCCCAAACCCAGUGUAAUCACGAGAAAAGCAUCAGGCGAGGCCCCACGGAGAAACAGUCCACAAACAGCUGACCUGUGCACGUCAAGACGUCCGGGUCUUCCAAAAUGAGGAGGGCCCAGAAACCAUCACAGCCAGAGAGACAUGGUCACUAAAGGAAAUGUGGUGUCCUGGAUGGGACCCUGGAACAGAACAAGACAUUGAUUAAACCAAGAGCAGGAAGUGCUGGGGAGUGGCAUUGGCCAAAUAAUAUUGUUAUGUCGUGUUCACGUAUGAAUAGGUGCCAACAAGUCCCAUCAUUAUGUACAACUAAUGUGCCAAUAAAAAACGUGGAAUAAAACUGAAGGUAAUCUGAAUAAAAUAUGGACUUCAGUUAAUAACAAUAUGUCACUAUUCUUAUUCCUUCACUGUGACAAAUGUACCCUACUAACACACACAAGAUAUUAAUAACAGUG
rnacentral:lncRNA from 1 species